AAAAUCCUUAAGAUACCUUGUGAUUCCUUACAAUACCCUCAUUUUAUUUUCAAAAUUCAACUUCACUAACCUGACAACUUUUAAGCAGUUCUCACGUCUAAAAGUGACCAUUAACAAAGCUAUCAGCAGUCUGAACACAUGCAAGACCCACACACUGAACUAUGGUGUCGUUUUUAUACUCAUUUUGCCGCUUGAUCGCGUUGCCACUUUGUACCUGCAUAUAGCCUCCGGCCUUGGGGUUAAUUUGAAGGAUUCUUUAAUGCCCAGAGAAAAGAUACUUGAGAUUCAACUGAUUUUCUUAGAUCAUUAAUCCAAAUAUUAUGGUAACGGUAAGUAAUAUCUUUGAUAGUUAGCUAUUCCCCUAGAAGAGGGCCGCAGCCUCCUACUCUGUGGACUCACAGUCUCCUUUGAAAAUUAGAUGAGAGCUAUGUAUCCUCUUCCUGGAAAAAUGCGCAUGCACACAGGCAAAGUUCUACAGAAAAUUCCCAGAGGCCUCUGGACUCCCUGAAUCCCCAUUAGCAACCUCUAUAUCAGAAAAAGAGGAAUUUAUAGAGAAAUAGUAAACUGGCUGACUACGCGGUGUAGAGGGAGAUAAAGGAGGGAUGGACAGGAGAAAAGGAAGUUUCCCAUUCUGGGCCAGCCUUGUCCUAGACUUUCCCUAUUCUUUACUUUUCGCAGAAGCUCUGUGCACUACAUAUUAUUAUUUUUCCAUAGUCAAGGAAACUACGGUUCAGAGAGGCUAUGCAACCCCCAACAAAGCCAUCGUGCUGGAAAGUGGCAGAGGCAAAAUGCAAACCUGCUGUCUUGACUUUUUAAGUCCAAUGUACAUUUCCUUUAGCGCUAAGUCCGCUUACUGCUUUUUCAUCUUGGGACUUCUCAAGACAGAACUGAACCAUUAGACCAACCGCAUCUGCUAGACUGUGAACUCCCGGAGAGUAGGGUCCGUGUCCCAUUCAUUUGAUGUCUCUGGUGCCUGGCACGUAGAAGGCACUCUUUAAAGGAGAAUGGAAUGUAUAAAUUAACACACUGGGGCAACAAUCCCAUGGACAGUGGCAGAAGCUAUAUGCCUCUGUGUUGCCACAAGAUAAAAGUCCUUGUCACUAAAUAUUCCUUUAGAUGAGCACUGGGCGCAGACUUCAAUAUAUUGUAAAACAUACAUGGUAAAACUCUUUUGUGCAGAAACAGCGUUAAUCCUUUUGAAAAAUAAUCUAUUCAUAAACCACAAAGCACCUUUACAACAAUCUGCCUAAUAUUAUCAGGUCAACAACUAACAUCUUUUGGUAGUGAAUUACUGUAUCAUGGAAAACCAAAAUCAUGGAGAAAAUAAGUGCACAAAUUAGGACUAUUUCUAAAGAUACUUAAUUUUACAAAUUUCAUAAUAAGAACUUAAAUGCAUUUUUAUUUUUGCAAUAAUUGCUCCGAAGAUGAAAACUAAGGCACCAUUUCAAUGUAGUAAAGGUAAUUGCUGCAUUUACUGCUCAUGUCAUGUUGAUGUAUGAGUAUGUAUCAAAGGUCAUCCUUCUGUACUCAUACAUUAUCAAAUUUGAAAGCACAAUAUUUGAUUCUGACCAACCUUUAAACUGCCCACAAUGUGUGUGAAAAAUAGAUGGAGUUCUUCCUUGGGUUUGAGAAAAAAAUGAACCCAUGUUUCGGAAGCAGAAGGGUCAAGAAGCCAGCAGCAAGGUUAGAUGUCAGCACUAUGAAUCUCACAGUGUCUUCGCUUAUCAAUGAGGUCUAGUACAAUGAUCACAAGCUAAAAUUGCUGUACUAAUGAAGACAAAGGUCUAAAAAAUUAGAUAGCACGGGCCCUCUGACAGAGGGCAGUACCUUGUGGACAGUAAUGCAGAAAUACGGACAUAAAUCACUCUUGAGAGACAAUAAAACCUAUAAUGCACAAAUUGAAUUGUUUACAUGUCUAUCGGAGGCACCGUUAAAAACAGAAGCGUCGGGCACCACACCUCUUGUUGCUCAUCUGGAACGCAGCAGCCCCGAAUUCAGCCUAUUAGAAGGCCCAACCACAGGAGAUUGCCUUAUUGAGAAGAGAGAUCAUACAAACACGUGAAAAGAACCCAAGUCUUCAAACACCAAAAGAAAAAAGUGUUCUGGAAAGAAUUCACAACAUCCUCCCCAAACAUGUCUCAAGCAUACCAGUUUUAUUUCAGCCUGUGUUCAGUUUAUUUUUUUUUAAUUUACUGCAUCCUAUUCUGAAAAUUUAUGUAUUCUUUGGCUGUGCGAACACUCAUAAUUGAGCAUACAAGUUCAUUCCAAAAUUUGGCUCCUUUUUGUUCCUAGGAAAAAGAUUUUUUAGAAAGCAAACCACUAUAAUUUAAUAAAAUGGGUCAACGCUUGGCAGGUUGGCAAAGUCUUUAGAAUUCUUGCUAUAGACAGUAAGGCACAAGUAGCCUGUUUCAUUAUUAUAAAAAAAUAAUGAAUAACUUAGCUGCCUAUAAUUCAUAAAAUAUACCACACUAGAGCAAGUUUUAAUUACACUUGCCAUGUACAGUAUACAUUGCCUUUUAAUGGUUUUUUGAGUAAGUACUCAACUUUAAG
ensembl:lncRNA